rnacentral:rRNA from 1 species
AGCGAACGCUGGCGGCAGGCCUAACACAUGCAAGUCGAGCGGGCAUCCUUGUGGUGUCUGCGGCAGACGGGUGCGUAACGCGUGGGAACGUGCCCUUCGUUUCGGACUAACUUAGGGAAACUUGAGCUAAUACCGGAUACAUGCUAGAGCAGAAAGGGUUCUAUGCCGAAGGAUAGGCGCGCGUCUGAUUAUAUAGUUGGUGAGGUUACGGCGCACCAAGGCGUCGAUCACUAGCUGGUCUGAGAGGAAGAUCAGCCACACUGGGAGUGCGACACGGCCGAGACUCCUGGGGGAGGCAGCAGUGGGGAAUAUUGGACUAUGGGGGCGACCAUGAUCCAGCCAGGCCGCGUGAGUGAUGACGGUCUUAGGGUUGUAAAGCUGGUUACUACGGGACGAUAAUGACGGUACCGGAGGAAUAAGCCCCGGCUAACUUCGUG